AGCGGCGGACGGGUGAGUAACGCGUGGGAACGUACCCUCUUCUGCGGGAUAGCCACUGGAAACGGUGAGUAAUACCGCAUACGCCCUUCGGGGGAAAGAUUUAUCGGAGGAGGAUCGGCCCGCGUUGGAUUAGGUAGUUGGUGGGGUAAUGGCCUACCAAGCCUACGAUCCAUAGCUGGUUUUAGAGGAUGAUCAGCCACACUGGGACUGAGACACGGCCCAGACUCCUACGGGAGGCAGCAGUGGGGAAUCUUAGACAAUGGGCGCAAGCCUGAUCUAGCCAUGCCGCGUGAGUGACGAAGGCCUUAGGGUCGUAAAGCUCUUUCGCCAGAGAUGAUAAUGACAGUAUCUGGUAAAGAAACCCCGGCUAACUCCGUGCCAGCAGCCGCGGUAAUACGGAGGGGGUUAGCGUUGUUCGGAAUUACUGGGCGUAAAGCGCACGUAGGCGGAUUGGAAAGUUGGGGGUGAAAUCCCAGGGCUCAACCCUGGAACUGCCUCCAAAACUCCCAGUCUGGAGUUCGAGAGAGGUGAGUGGAAUUCCGAGUGUAGAGGUGAAAUUCGUAGAUAUUCGGAGGAACACCAGUGGCGAAGGCGGCUCACUGGCUCGAUACUGACGCUGAGGUGCGAAAGUGUGGGGAGCAAACAGGAUUAGAUACCCUGGUAGUCCACACCGUAAACGAUGAAUGCCAGUCGUCGGCAA
rnacentral:rRNA from 2 species